rnacentral:rRNA from 1 species
AGGCGCAGCUGAACAUCCAUGCCGCGUGCAGGAAGAAUGCCCUAUGGGUUGUAAACUGCUUUUAUUUAGGAAUAAACUCUUGUACGUGUACAAGCCUGAAGGUACUAAAUGAAUAAGCACCGGCUAACUCCGUGCCAGCAGCCGCGGUAAUACGGAGGGUGCAAGCGUUAUCCGGAUUCACUGGGUUUAAAGGGUGCGUACGUGGGUUGGUAAGUCAGUGGUGAAAUCCCCGAGCUUAACUUGGGAACUGCCAUUGAUACUAUCAAUCUUGAAUACCGUGGAGGUCAGCAGAAUAUGUCAUGUAGCGGUGAAAUGCUUAGAUAUGACAUAGAAUACCAAUUGCGAAGGCAGCUGGCUACCCGAAUAUUGACACUGAGGCACGAAAGCGUGGGGAUCAAACAGGAUUAGAUACCCUGGUAGUCCACGCCCUAAACUAUGGAUACUCGACAUAUGCGAUACACUGUAUGUGUCUG